UUAGAGGAAGUAAAAGUCGUAACAAGGUCUCCGUUGGUGAACCAGCGGAGGGAUCAUUACAGAGUUAUAAAACUCCCAACCCUAUGUGAACUUACCUAUGUUGCCUCGGCGGAUCUACAUUGUACAUCCGCCGGUGGACAAACCAAACUCUGUUAUUUUUAAUGAUUUCUGAGCGUCUUAUUUUAAUAAGUCAAAACUUUCAACAACGGAUCUCUUGGUUCUGGCAUCGAUGAAGAACGCAGCGAAAUGCGAUAAGUAAUGUGAAUUGCAGAAUUCAGUGAAUCAUCGAAUCUUUGAACGCACAUUGCGCCCAUUAGUACUCUAGUGGGCAUGCCUGUUCGAGCGUCAUUUCAACCCCUAAGCCUAGCUUAGUAUUGGGAGACUACUGUAGUGGUGUUAGUGGGUGCCACCCUGAAAAACGGGCCGGUCUACUAGCUACCCUGUAGCUCCUUAAAGUCAGUGGCGGAGACAUGGAGUCCUCUGAGCGUAGUAAAUCUUUCUCGCUUUUGUAGGUUCCGUGGCUUUUGCCGUUAAACCCCCAAUUCUUAANGGUGACCUNG
rnacentral:rRNA from 1 species